rnacentral:rRNA from 1 species
ACAUCCAGAGAACUUAGCAGAGAUGCUUUGGUGCCUUCGGGGAACUCUGAGACAGGUGCUGCAUGGCUGUCGUCAGCUCGUGUUGUGAAAUGUUGGGUUAAGUCCCGNAACGAGCGCAACCCUUAUCCUUUGUUGCCAGCGGUUCGGCCGGGAACUCAAAGGAGACUGCCGGUGAUAAACCGGGAGGAAGGUGGGGAUGACGUCAAGUCAUCAUGGCCCUUACGGCCAGGGCUACACACGUGCUACAAUGGCGCAUACAAAGAGAAGCGACCUCGCGAGAGCAAGCGGACCUCAUAAAGUGCGUCGUAGUCCGGAUUGGAGUCUGCAACUCGACUCCAUGAAGUCGGAAUCGCUAGUAAUCGUAGAUCAGAAUGCUACGGUGAAUACGUUCCCGGGCCUUGUACACACCGCCCGUCACACCAUGGGAGUGGGUUGCAAAAGAAGUAGGUAGCUUAACCUUCGGGAGGGCGCUUACCACUUUGUGAUUCAUGACUGGGGUGAAGUCGUAACAAGGUAAGCGUAGCGAG